rnacentral:rRNA from 1 species
UACGUAGGGAGCAAGCGUUGUCCGGAAUCAUUGGGCGUAAAGCGCGCGUAGGCGGCCUUGUAAGUCCGUUGUGAAAGUCAAAGGCUCAACCUUUGAAAGCCGAUGGAUACUGUGAGGCUAGAGUCCGGAAGAGGCGAGUGGAAUUCCUGGUGUAGCGGUGGAAUGCGCAGAUAUCAGGAGGAACACCAAUAGCGAAGGCAGCUCGCUGGGACGGUACUGACGCUAAGGCGCGAAAGCGUGGGGGAGCGAACAGG